ACACAUAAACCAUACAGAGGUAAUACACGUAUAGAAUAGAUAU
rnacentral:misc_RNA from 1 species